GAACCCCUUCCCCUCCCUUGUCCAAGUGUGCGCUUACCAUUGUUCCAUCUGUAAGGGCGCACCCUUCUAUAUAGAAGUACCUUGCUGGGCAGAGAAUUAAAAAGAAAAUUUUAUAUUCGAGUGCUAUUCCUUUUGUGGCACUAAAACUUUAUAUAUAACAAUUGGGGGCUCUUCUGGGAUUGCAUUCCCCUCUGGGGGUGGUCUCUGGUUGUCUCUCCUGAGGAGGUGCACCCCGUCCCCUUGUGGCAGCCUCAGGGGUGAGAAAUCAAGACCCACCCAGUGCGAGGAAUAACCCAAGCUCUCAGCAAGGCGGGAAAAAAAGAAAGUGGCCAGCAACCUAGCUUAAAGGAUCCUCACAUACUGCGGCAACGACUCUGCGCACAGACCAAGGAAGGAGAAGCCGCGGCAGCCGGAUCAAAGGAUUAUUGCAGAGAUGAUUUAAAUACUCCAAAAGAAAUAUUCAUCUCUUCCCUCAUGCCAAAAAAUUUUUUUCAGGAUCAAAGGAUUAUCAAAAGUUACAAAAUUGCAAUCUAAGAGAACUCAACUGUAUUUUCACAUUUAAAUAUGUUUAAAAUG
rnacentral:lncRNA from 10 species